UUGAAACACCGGUUCCCAUGCGAUCACCUAUGUUAAGCAACGUCGAGCCUGGUCAGUACCUAGAUGGAUGAGCUCUUACGAAUACUAGUUAC